CAUCAUGAUUUACAUUUGAGUGAGUGGCGAACUGGUGAGUAACACGUGGGAAACCUGCCCAGAAGCGGGGGAUAACACCUGGAAACAGAUGCUAAUACCGCAUAACAACUUGGACCGCAUGGUCCGAGUUUGAAAGAUGGCUUCGGCUAUCACUUUUGGAUGGUCCCGCGGCGUAUUAGCUAGAUGGUGGGGUAACGGCUCACCAUGGCAAUGAUACGUAGCCGACCUGAGAGGGUAAUCGGCCACAUUGGGACUGAGACACGGCCCAAACUCCUACGGGAGGCAGCAGUAGGGAAUCUUCCACAAUGGACGAAAGUCUGAUGGAGCAACGCCGCGUGAGUGAAGAAGGGUUUCGGCUCGUAAAACUCUGUUGUUAAAGAAGAACAUAUCUGAGAGUAACUGUUCAGGUAUUGACGGUAUUUAACCAGAAAGCCACGGCUAACUACGUGCCAGCAGCCGCGGUAAUACGUAGGUGGCAAGCGUUGUCCGGAUUUAUUGGGCGUAAAGCGAGCGCAGGCGGUUUUUUAAGUCUGAUGUGAAAGCCUUCGGCUCAACCGAAGAAGUGCAUCGGAAACUGGGAAACUUGAGUGCAGAAGAGGACAGUGGAACUCCAUGUGUAGCGGUGAAAUGCGUAGAUAUAUGGAAGAACACCAGUGGCGAAGGCGGCUGUCUGGUCUGUAACUGACGCUGAGGCUCGAAAGUAUGGGUAGCAAACGGGAUUAGAUACCCUGGUAGUCCAUACCGUAAACGAUGAAUGCUAAGUGUUGGAGGGUUUUCCGC
rnacentral:rRNA from 2 species